CCUGGUGCAGGGUGAGUGAGAGGCAACCACACAUUGAUGUUUCUCUCCCUCUCUUUCUACUUCCUUUCCCCUCUCUAAAAAUAAAUAAAUAAAUUCUUUAAAAAAGAUUCAUAUGGUUAAGCCCUUACCGCCAAUGUGAAUGUGUUUCACAUGUGCAUGUGAAGGAUAUAGGGCCUUUGGGGUGGUAUUUAAGAAUGGGGCCCUAAUCCUACCAGGUUGGUAUCCUUAUAAGAGGAGGAAGAGACAUGAGUACUCUUUGUAUGCAUGCAUGAAAAAGAGGGGACAAAAGGACACAGCAAAAAGGCAGCUGCCUACAGCCAGGAAGAGAGGUGUCACCACAAACCAACCCUGACAACACCUGGAUCUUGGACUGCUAGCGUCCAUAACUGUGAGAAAAUGAAUUUCUGUUGUUUGAGCCAGCCAGUCUGUGGUGUUUUGUUGUGGCAGCCUGAGUAACUAAUAGGCCAUGCAAUGGAGUAUUACUCAUCCAUAAAAAGGAAUUAAGUAAUAUGCUUGUUACAGCAUGAACCUAUGUAAAAGUACACUAAGUGAAAGCAGCCAGACACAAAGGGCCAUAUAUUGUGUUAUUGCAUGAUCCCAUUCAGAUGAAAUGUCCAGACCAGACAGGUCCACAGAGACAGAAAAUAGUUAGUGGUUGCCAAGGAAUGGAGGAAGAGGGAUUGGGGAACAUGGGCUUUCUUUUGGAGUGAUGGAAGUUUUCUGAAUUAGAUAGUGGUGGUAUUUGCACACAUUGUGAAUAUAAGUUAAAGAACUCACUUGUAUACUUUAAAAUGGUUAAAAACAUGAAUUUUGUUAUGUGGAUUUUAUUUCAGAAAAAAAUUGUUUUAAUUUUUCCAACCUGAAGGAUAUCCUCUAACAUUUCUUGUAUGUGAGUCUGUUAGUGAUUAAUUCUUUCAUUUGUAGAUAUGAAAAUUUAUUUUGCUUUCAUAUUUUUCAAGAUAAUUUUACAGGGAAUGAAAUUUUAGGUAGACAUUUUUCUCUCAGUACUUUAAGAAUGUUGUUCCCCUGUCUUCUCAUGUGCAUUGUUUGUGACAAGAAAUCUGAUGUCGUCCUUUUCUUUGUUCCUGUGUACAUGUCUCUUUUUCCUCUGGUUGCUUUUAAGAUUUUCUUUUUAUCAUUGUCUUUGAGCAAUGUGAUUAUGCUGUGCCUUGAUGUAAUUUCCUUCAUGUUAUUUCUGCUUGGAGUUUGUUGAGCUAUUAGGAUCUGUGGGCUCAUUGUUUUGUGGAAAGUUUUUAGCCAUUAUGCCAUCAGAUAUUUUGUCUGCCCUGCCCCCAACCUCACCACCCCUCAGGACUCUGGUUACUCAUGUAUAUUUUGAUCACUGAUCCCUCAGAUACUUUUUGGACUUUUUUUCCUCUGUGUAUUUCAUUUGGAUAGUUUCUAUUGGAAAACUACCCAAAUGUCCCUCAGCAGUAGAAUGUGAUACGUUCAUACAAUGGAGUACUAUACAACUAGAAUAAACAAACUACUCUUACAACUUUAUUUACAAAAAUAAGUGAUGGUAAAGGGCAUGAGGUUCUCCUUUGGAGUGAAAGAAGGCAUGGAAUUAGUGGUGAUGGUUAUACAACACAAUGCAUGUACUCAAUGCCAUGGACUGCACACUUUAAAAUGGUUAAAAUACUAAAUUUUAUGUUACAGAUAUUUUGCUACAGUAUGGUUUUUUUUAAACAGGUAAUGGGUCGUAUUUAGCCCAUGGGCCAUAGUUUGCCAGCUCCUGCUCUAAACUGUUAGCCACACGAGAAGCCAUGUGGCAUAAAGGUUAUAAGCACAGUUACCAGACAACCUGUGUUCAACCACUGGCUC